rnacentral:tRNA from 1 species
GUGGUUGUGGCUCAGUGGUAGAGUGCUUGCCUAGCACAUGCAGGGUACUGGGUUCUAUCCUCAACACCACA